rnacentral:snRNA from 1 species
UAACUCUGGUUUCCCUUCAAAACGCAUAAAUCUUUCGCCUUUUACUAAAGAUUUCCGUGGAGGGGAACAACUCAAUGAGUCUACUCAAUUUUUCUAUAGCCCACUUCUUGUUGUUCA